rnacentral:sRNA from 1 species
UCCUCUUGCCUCACAGCAGGCGGCCCU